CAUUAGUACAUAUUAUUCUAUUGAACAGAAAGGUUGGUGGAAUGAUCAAUUGUUUUCUAAAAUAUUUUUUUAUGAUAAAUAAGUCAAUACAGAAUGAUAAUAUGACUACAAAUAUAAUAUAUAUGUCUUUUAAUUAAUGUGUUUAAAUAUAUGAUAACAAAAAUCAACUAAUAAAACAGAAAAAUAAAUUAUGAUCAAUAAUAUAAAAUAUGAAAAAUGUUCACUUUCUGAAGAUGAAGAUCAAAUACUUACGAAAAAGCAAAAACAGAAAUCCGGAUUGUUGAAAAGCAGAAACAACGUAAACAUGAACGAUAGAGUAAUGCACUAUUUAAUAACUAAAAAUAAUGAACACCUGAGUAGUACCGGUGUAUCAGGGAAAGUUACGGUAUUAUUAAUAUUUCCAUUAAUGGUUUUGAUUUUUUUACUUCUUAUGAUAUAUUUAUAAAUUUUCUAUUUUAAAAUGUAAUUAUUACCUACUUAUUUUAUUUAUCAUCAUUACCUAUUCAUGUAACCCUUAGAUUUCUGUAAAUAUUAAAUUUAUGAUUUAUUUAAUUUAAUAUUAUAUUAUAAUGUAUUGAUGUGUAUUUUUUAAUUUUACCAAUUUUAUUAUAUCAAUUAAUCGUUUUAUUUAUAAGUAAUUUCAAUUUAUGAAUAAAUUUCAAACUCAAUUGGAUGCCUCAAA